rnacentral:rRNA from 1 species
GACGAACGCUGGCGGCGUGCUUAACACAUGCAAGUCGAACGGAAAGGCCCUGCUUUUGUGGGGUGCUCGAGUGGCGAACGGGUGAGUAACACGUGAGUAACCUGCCCUUGACUUUGGGAUAACUUCAGGAAACUGGGGCUAAUACCGGAUAGGAGCUCCUGCUGCAUGGUGGGGGUUGGAAAGUUUCGGCGGUUGGGGAUGGACUCGCGGCUUAUCAGCUUGUUGGUGGGGUAGUGGCUUACCAAGGCUUUGACGGGUAGCCGGCCUGAGAGGGUGACCGGCCACAUUGGGACUGAGGUACGGAGCAGUCUCCUACGGGCGGCAGCAGUGGGGAAUAUUGCACAAUGGGCGGAAGCCUGAUGCAGAAACGCCGCGUGCGUGAUGCCCGCUUUCGGGUUGUAAACAGAUGUGGAAUGUGACGAAGCGUGAGUGACGGUAAUGGGUCAAGAAGCAACGGCUAACUACGUG